GAUGAACGCUGGCGGCGUGCCUAAUACAUGCAAGUCGAGCGAACAGACGAGGAGCUUUCUCCUCUUACGUUAGCGGCGGACGGGUGAGUAACACGUGUAUAACCUACCUAUAAGACUGGGAUAACUUCGUGAAACCGGAGCUAAUACCGGAUAAUCUAUUGAACCGCAUGGUUCAAUAGUUAAAGACGGUUUUGCUGUCACUUAUAGAUGGAUCCGCUCCGCAUUAGCUAGUUGGUAAGGUAACGGCUUACCAAGGCGACGAUGCGUAGCCGACCUGAGAGGGUGAUCGGCCACACUGGAACUGAGACACGGUCCAGACUCCUACGGGAGGCAGCAGUAGGGAAUCUUCCGCAAUGGGCGAAAGCCUGACGGAGCAACGCCGCGUGAGUGAUGAAGGUCUUCGGAUCGUAAAACUCUGUUAUUAGGGAAGAACAAAUGUGUAAGUAACUAUGCACGUAUUGACGGUACCUAAUCAGAAAGCCACGGCUAACUACGUG
rnacentral:rRNA from 1 species